rnacentral:lncRNA from 1 species
GCUGUGACAGAGAGAGGUUAAGUCACUACGUGAAACAAAUUUACUAUCAUCUCUCUCCGCCAGAAUAUUUUUACUGAAAUUGAUAUUCGAAAAUAAAUAUUCACUAGUGUUUCUUUACUUUGAAACAGAUAUUUUUGGAAGCAGGAUGUUUUUUAAUGGUUGGAUGCCCUCUCGAAACUUCGAUUUUUUUAUUUAUGAAGAACUAGACGCUGUGCAUGACACAGCAGUGGUAAGUGGUGGCUUAGCUCUGAAGCCUAACAUGUCCAUAUUUCGACGCCCUCAGCCGCGUCAACUUAAAAUCUUGCCUUAAGCCCUAUGUCUUGAGGAACAGCCUAUCGCAGGACCUCGCCCCCGAAAGAUGGCCUUAUCUUCAUGGAACGCCACUCGCAAGCUCACUAGUUUUUUCUGUAAUUGAUCUUGUUCAAGAAUGUGUGGCGGCAGUAACAUCUGUUUCCCUUAAGGCUGAAAGCAUCAAAAAGGACGAUAAAUUAAAAUGAGAUAGUCAACAUCAUUUCAAAAUUUCAACCCCAAAAAAAAAGAAACCCAAACAAAAAAAGAAAUUAUUAUUGUUAAUCAUAUGACGGCAAAGGUGGUUUCUACAUCAAAAACAAUUCAAAAAAAAAUUUGUCGAAGAUACCAGCCAUCAAGGAUGUAAAGAGAGUCUUGGUAAAAGUUCACAAAAUUGGUUUCCCUUGCAGAAAAUUUCUGAUUACCAAAAAUGGGCUAAUGAAACAUUAACCCAUCAGAUCGCUUAGGAUUGAAUUAUUUAUAAAAAUGCGCCAGUGUACUUGUAGAGAUGACAAGCGCCAUUUAAUAUACAUGUACGAAACUUAUAAUCAAUUAUCUGAUACUCAGAAUAAAGCAUGGGGGCUUGGAAGUUAUUACAAAACCGAUAGCCAAAAGACCACGCGCUUUUACAGUGCAUGCGGAUCAUGAAAACGGAUUUGUUCUUAACGAAUACGUCAGUUGGAAAUCAAAUAUCCACAAGUGGCGACUACCAUCUUGAAAUGAAUUACAAAAAUUGUAAAAAGUGGGUCACGGAGAAUCUGAUUUCAAAUUUAAAUCCAAGAACUAUGGUUGUAAUUAAUAACGCCUCAUAUCACAAUAAACAACUAGGAAAAGCACCAACAAAUUUGUCAAGCAAUGUAGAAAUGCAAGAAUGAUACCGACUUAGAGAGAUGAUAAAUCUAUGUUAAAGCCACAAUUGUAUAAUAUAAUAAAGCUUUACAAACCAAAAUAUAAGUUCUAUAAAAUAUGUGAACUCUUUUAUAAAAAAGGACAUGACGUGUUACGAUUACCACUAUAUCAUCCAGAUCUAAACCCGAUCGAGUUAGUUUGGGCUAAUUUAAAACGAUAUGUGGCAAACAAAAACGUAAAUUUAAGUUUUUAUCAGGUUGUGGGAUACUAUGAUGACUUUUUAAAUAAUUUUCACUUGAUAAAUAGCAAUCUUGUUGCGAUCAUGCAAAAAAAUUGAACAAGGAUAUAUUUCAAAAGAAUAAUCUGUAAAUAUUGUAAACAGUGAAUUAUCUAGAAUAGAGAAAUUAUAUGAGGAGGAUUAUGGACCACAAAACUUAACUGUCAAAGAGGACAAAACCUACGUUAAUUUGUAAAUUCUACUUUAAAAUAUAUAAUAUAUUUCUGAAUAAUA